rnacentral:rRNA from 1 species
UACGAAGGGGGCUAGCGUUGUUCGGAAUUACUGGGCGUAAAGCGCGUGUAGGCGGGUCUUUAAGUCAGGGGUGAAAUGCCAAGGCUCAACCUUGGAACUGCCUUUGAUACUGGAGAUCUUGAGUCCGGGAGAGGUGAGUGGAACUGCGAGUGUAGAGGUGAAAUUCGUAGAUAUUCGCAAGAACACCGGUGGCGAAGGCGGCCAACUGGACGGUGACUGACACUGAGACGCGAAAGCGUGGGGAGCAAACAGGG